UAUCGAUAUCGACACCAGGGUGCCCCGCGCGUGCGCGGGGUUAAACGGGAAGCCGGUGCGUCCGUAAGGACCAGUCCGGCGCUGCCCCCGCAACGGUGAUUGGGUCAAGGCGACACCACACUGGCCACUGUGCGCUUGCGCAUGGGAAGGCGGUUCGCCGCGAUGCGUCGCAUCGCGCCCAUCAGCCCGGAGACCGGCCCUGGCGUCUACGUUCCG
rnacentral:ncRNA from 2 species